AGCUUUGUGCAGUGGCAGUAUCAUAGCCAAAGAGGUUUAUCUGAGGCACAAUUGCUGCUAAUUAAAAGCAAGCAAUGAGGAAAAAAAUAACACAGCAUUUGUGAAUUAUUUUUUCCAGAAUUCGGAUUUUAAGUAUUCUUACAAAAGC
ensembl:snRNA U4 U4 spliceosomal RNA